rnacentral:rRNA from 1 species
GCAAGUCGAGCGCAGGAAGCCGGCAGAUCCCUUCGGGGUGACGCCGGUGGAAUGAGCGGCGGACGGGUGAGUAACACGUGGGCAACCUGCCUUGCAGACUGGGAUAACUCCGGGAAACCGGGGCUAAUACCGGAUGAUCAUUUGGAUCGCAUGAUCCGAAUGUAAAAGUGGGGAUUUAUCCUCACACUGCAAGAUGGGCCCGCGGCGCAUUAGCUAGUUGGUAAGGUAAUGGCUUACCAAGGCGACGAUGCGUAGCCGACCUGAGAGGGUGAUCGGCCACACUGGAACUGAGACACGGUCCAGACUCCUACGGGAGGCAGCAGUAGGGAAUCAUCCGCAAUGGGCGAAAGCCUGACGGUGCAACGCCGCGUGAACGAUGAAGGUUUUCGGAUCGUAAAGUUCUGUUAUGAGGGAAGAACACGUGCCGUUCGAAUAGGGCGGCACCUUGACGGUACCUCACGAGAAAGCCCCGGCUAACUACGUGCCAGCAGCCGCGGUAAUACGUAGGGGGCAAGCGUUGUCCGGAAUUAUUGGGCGUAAAGCGCGCGCAGGCGGUCUCUUAAGUCUGAUGUGAAAGCCCACGGCUCAACCGUGGAGGGUCAUUGGAAACUGGGGGACUUGAGUGUAGGAGAGGAAAGUGGAAUUCCACGUGUAGCGGUGAAAUGCGUAGAUAUGUGGAGGAACACCAGUGGCGAAGGCGACUUUCUGGCCUACAACUGACGCUGAGGCGCGAAAGCGUGGGGAGCAAACAGGAUUAGAUACCCUGGUAGUCCACGCCGUAAACGAUGAGUGCUAGGUGUUAGGGGUUUCGAUACCCUUAGUGCCGAAGUUAACACAUUAAGCACUCCGCCUGGGGAGUACGGCCGCAAGGCUGAAACUCAAAGGAAUUGACGGGGGCCCGCACAAGCAGUGGAGCAUGUGGUUUAAUUCGAAGCAACGCGAAGAACCUUACCAGGUCUUGACAUCCUCUGACACCUCUGGAGACAGAGCGUUCCCCUU